UUUCCGUAGGUGAACCUGCGGAAGGAUCAUUAUUGUAUAACCGAGGUGCGAGGGCUGUCGCUGACCCGAAAGGUCGUGCACGCCCGAGUGCCCUCACACACAUCCAUCUCACCCCUAUGUGCACCACCGCGUGGGUCCCCCUUUGGCUUGUUCGGAGGGGGGCUUACGUUUUCACACAAACUUUGUAUGCAGUGUAGAAUGUAUUUUUUGUUUUUGCGAUCACGCAAUCAAUACAACUUUCAACAACGGAUCUCUUGGUUCUG
rnacentral:misc_RNA from 1 species